AUGUCCUCUAGUUUAGAUUUUCAUCGGGAAGCUUAUUUUAAUGCGUCUUCCUUUUGUGCUCUUUUUUCUGAUGAGGACGUGAGGAAUGGUCACACAAUCAACUCUACGCUUGCAUCAUCUGAAGUUGUUGGAGCUUCAGUUUCUCCUGCUUUAAUCAUCCCAGAGAUGAAGGUUGAUGAUUUGAAUAAGGAAGAAGCCCUAAAUUCCAUCACGGCUUACCAUACUUCUUAUAAUCGGUAUCCGAGUGACGUUUAG